rnacentral:rRNA from 1 species
UCAAGCGAAACGCACUUAUAGUUUGACUUCCCGAAACUAAGCGAGCUACUCUAAAGCACUUUAUAGAAUUAACCCGUCCCUGUAGCAAAAGGGUGGGAAGACUUUAGAAUAGAGGUGAUACACCUACCGAGCUUAGAGAUAGCUGGUUAUUCAAGAAAAGAAUCUAAGUUCAUCUUUAAGUUUCUACAGUUUAAUAAAACAUUUAAUAAACUUAAAAGUUAUUCAAAUAAGGGACAGCCUAUUUGAAAAAGGACACAGCCUAUAACUCAGGGUAAUGACCUUCUCUCAUGACCAAGUUAGCCUAAAAGCAGCUAUCUUUCAAAAAGCGUCCAAGCUUCAUCACAAACCUUAUUAAUCCCAUAAUUAACUCAUAACCCUCAACCACUACUGAAUAGUCUCAUACUAUAUGAGAAUUAUUAUGCUAGAACUAGUAACAAGAAGAAGACCUUCUCCAAAAUGUAAACGUAAGCCAAAAUGAACACUCACCGGCACUUACCGCCACAAACCUACAGUAUUAACAUCUCAAGAAAAAAAUACUCCUACCGACGUUAACCUUACACUAGCACAUUCCAGGAAAGAUUCAAAAAAAGGGAAGGAACUCGGC